rnacentral:rRNA from 1 species
GGCGAUAAGGGGACUUCGAGUGCCAGGUUACAAAUCUGGCUGUCGUGAUGCAUAAAAAGCAUUGCAUAGCAAGGGCCGGGCAAGACCGGUGCCAGCCGCCGCGGUAACACCGGCGGCUCGAGUGGUAACCGUUAUUAUUGGGUCUAAAGGGUCUGUAGCCGGCCGGAUAAGUCUCUUGAGAAAUCCAGCAGCUCAACUGUUGGGCUUUCAGGAGAUACUGUUCGGCUCGAGGCCGGGAGAGGUGAGAGGUACUUCAGGGGUAGGGGUGAAAUCUUGUAAUCCUUGAAGGACCACCAGUGGCGAAGGCGUCUCACCAGAACGGACCUGACGGCAAGGGACGAAAGCUAGGGGCACGAACCGGAUUAGAUACCCGGGUAGUCCUAGCCGUAAACGAUACUCGCUAGGUGUCGGCCACGGUGCGACCGUUGUCGGUGCCGUAGGGAAGCCGUGAAGCGAG